UUUCAUGCAUCUUGGCAUCAUGUUCUCCUCCACCAGUCUUACACACUGCUUUUGGAUAACUUUAUGCUGCUUUACUCCUGGUGCAAAAAUUCAAGCAGUUCAGUUUGGUGGUUUGAUGGUUUGUGAUCAUCCAUCUUCCUCUUGAUUAUAUUCCAGAGGUUUUUAAUUUGGUAAAAUCAAAGAAACUCAUCAUUUUUAAGUACUCUCUUAUUUUUUUUCCAGAGCUAAUACUAGACAAUUGGAUCUGGUUCAUAGCUGUUGAGUGCGAAGUCUACUCAAGGCCAUGGAAAAUAUAUAUUUGAUUUUUUCUGUAUGAACUAUAAACUGGGAUUCCCUAUGAAUUUCAAGUGCAAAAAGCUGAAAAUACUUCGUUCAUUAUCCAGAUAAUUCAUGUGAAGGACUUACACGUGUAUAAUUUUGUAUAAGGGACAUGGAUUUUUCUUAAAAAUAAGGGUUGUUUUGAAAAACUUGGUUACAUAAAGUGUGUGGAAGUUGUUGUUGUCCAUGGAAUGAGUGGUGCAUUGAAUAUUUGUGAGGGUUUACAUUAAUUUUGGGUUGAAAAAGGGCAUUUACUGUAAAUGAACUUUUGAAGAGAUUGCUUGGUGAAAGCUGAUGUGAAUCUAACAGGCUUUCACAUGCUGCUUCUACUCCACAAAUUCAUGUUAUUGUCAUUUAGAGCUUUUAUUUA